rnacentral:sRNA from 1 species
UAACUUGAUGUAAAAAACAUAAGCCUAAC